AUUGAACGCUGGCGGCAGGCCUAACACAUGCAAGUCGAGCGGAUGAAGGAAGCUUGCUCCUGGAUUCAGCGGCGGACGGGUGAGUAAUGCCUAGGAAUCUGCCUGGUAGUGGGGGAUAACGUCCGGAAACGGGCGCUAAUACCGCAUACGUCCUGAGGGAGAAAGUGGGGGAUCUUCGGACCUCACGCUAUCAGAUGAGCCUAGGUCGGAUUAGCUAGUUGGUGGGGUAAAGGCCUACCAAGGCGACGAUCCGUAACUGGUCUGAGAGGAUGAUCAGUCACACUGGAACUGAGACACGGUCCAGACUCCUACGGGAGGCAGCAGUGGGGAAUAUUGGACAAUGGGCGAAAGCCUGAUCUAGCCAUGCCGCGUGUGUGAAGAAGGUCUUCGGAUUGUAAAGCACUUUAAGUUGGGAGGAAGGGCAGUAAGUUAAUACCUUGCUGUUUUGACGUUACCAACAGAAUAAGCACCGGCUAACUUCGUG
rnacentral:rRNA from 1 species